ACGGGAGGCAGCAGUGGGGAAUAUUGGGCAAUGGGCGAAAGCCUGACCCAGCAACGCCGCGUGAAGGAAGAAGGUCUUCGGAUUGUAAACUUCUUUUAUGAGGGACGAAGGACGUGACGGUACCUCAUGAAUAAGCCACGGCUAACUACGUGCCAGCAGCCGCGGUAAUACGUAGGUGGCAAGCGUUAUCCGGAUUUACUGGGUGUAAAGGGCGCGUAGGCGGGGAUGCAAGUCAGAUGUGAAAUCUAUGGGCUUAACUCAUAAACUGCAUUUGAAACUGUAUCUCUUGAGUGCUGGAGAGGUAGACGGAAUUCCUUGUGUAGCGGUGAAAUGCGUAGAUAUCAGGAAGAACACCGGUGGCGAAGGCGGCUUACUGGACAGUAACAGACACUGAGGCUCGAAAGCGUGGGGAGCAAACAGGAUUAGAUACCCUGGUA
rnacentral:rRNA from 1 species